rnacentral:rRNA from 1 species
GAUGAACGCUGACAGAAUGCUUAACACAUGCAAGUCUACUUGAAUUUGGGUUUUUUAACUUAGAUUUGGGUGGCGGGCGGGUGAGUAACGCGUAAAGAACUUGCCUCACAGCUAGGGACAACAUUUGGAAACGAAUGCUAAUACCUGAUAUUAUGAUUAUAAGGCAUCUUAGAAUUAUGAAAGCUAUAUGCGCUGUGAGAGAGCUUUGCGUCCCAUUAGCUAGUUGGAGAGGUAACGGCUCACCAAGGCGAUGAUGGGUAGCCGGCCUGAGAGGGUGAACGGCCACAAGGGGACUGAGACACGGCCCUUACUCCUACGGGAGGCAGCAGUGGGGAAUAUUGGACAAUGGACCAAGAGUCUGAUCCAGCAAUUCUGUGUGCACGAUGACGUUUUUCGGAAUGUAAAGUGCUUUCAGUUGGGAAGAAAAAAAUGACGGUACCAACAGAAGAAGUGACGGCUAAAUACGUG